UUUCUUUUCUUUUCUCUCUUUUUUUUCUUUGUUCACUUCUUUUUUUUUUCUCCUUCUACUUGAUUUUGUAAUGCCUGGUAAAGCUGGUGG
rnacentral:ribozyme from 21 species